rnacentral:tRNA from 1 species
GCAAAUUUCCGUGGGAAAUUUGAAGUUACCUUUAUCGUUUUUUAUUGCAACGGUUGCUUGCA